rnacentral:rRNA from 1 species
AUGGCCAAACCAGGUCGCCGGUGCGUUACAGGGUGGGUCCGCUGGACUACGAGCCAGCGACACCAUGUUGGUGCAAGGAUAGGCCCAAGGCGGCCAUGUGGAUCUUGUGGAGCAACGACAACCCAGGGAGAAGAUACAAGACAUGUGCCUGGUCACGGAUGGGAGGAUGUGAGAUGUAUGAGUGGUUCGACGAUCCCAUUGACAAUAUGUUCCACAAGCAACUGGUCAUUGAUCUACGCGACAGGGUGCGUCAGCUAG